rnacentral:lncRNA from 1 species
GGCCAGGGGGGCCUUGCUUAUAUAGUCCUCUCCUUCUAUGCGUUUUUGGGUCGAUAGGCGAGGUGGUACUAUGUUUUUCUUGAUCCAAUAGGUCGGUGGAAUAUCCCGAGCGAAGAGAGUCCUGAUUGACAUCCAGCAGGGGGCGAGCGCCCAGGCUACCAGGGCGGGCGCCCUGGGCCUGGCCCAGUUUCGCCUCCGCUUCGGUCUCGUGGCUUCUGGAGUCCUCUAGAUGAUGUAAAAUCGUGCGGUGCGUUGAUAUCUCUAUGUAAUCCCGACAUGUGGGCCUUUCUUCCUUAUUUCCUGAUAACCCCUUGCAGAAACAGAUAAACAACAAAACUCGUGGAAUUCUGUCAUAUCAAACCCUAAUUCUAGGUGUUGGUUGCAUAUUGGUCCUUUCUCUUGUUUAUUUGAUAAUUAAAAUUGAUACUUAAGAACCGUCAACAAAUACCCCCAUACUUCGGCUUUUACUCGUCCUCGAGAAAAGGAUGGUUAAGAAAAAUAUCUGGGGUAAACAUUAAAAAACAUUCUCUAUAUAAUUGCAGGGUGUCAAAAAUCCACUGUGUACCAUAGUCAGGGAUGUUUAUGGUUAAGAGUAAAGAUCCUUUCUUCUCAAUCCUGCCACUUGGAGUUUUUGUAUAUUUUUGAAAGAAAGUUAGCAUACCUUUUUAUCCUCAUAGGUUCUCUCAGAUCACUCAUUAGCUUUUACAUAUAUCUCACUGAGACUGUUUUAUUUUGCAAAAAUUCUCAAGCAUUCUUACUUUGCAUUUAUUGCCUGAUCAAAACGGGAUCCGAGGAGGGGAAUGUCAUACUCUUAGAUCAAAGACUUUGAAAAUUAAAAACUUUGUCAACUCUUGCUGGCAUAUUGCUUAUUAGAGGGACCAUGGGCUAUCAUUUUUUUCUCUUUUCUCUUUUUUUUUAAGUGGAUACCGAGGUACCCCUAAUUCUACUGCCGGACACUUGUCCAUUUUUUUCUGUGAGGUUAUCGAGCACUUGCUCCGUUUUAUUUCCUCGAAAUAUUUCUAUUUCUGCAUAGCCCAUGCCUCUAAUGAAAUAAUACUUCGGAAGAGUGAAUCUUACUGAAAUAAUGUCUUGAUCUUAGGAGCAUGAUAAAUCUCUCAACAAGGGUCUAACUCAUUUUGAACAAACUCAAUACAGAGCAGAUAGCUUUUAUAAUCAUAAUUAAUAUUUUCAGUUUUAUCAGGCAUAUAAAACACUGAGGAUGGUAGCUAGAAUUUUGAAUAUUUUGAAAUAAAUUCUCCAAGCAACAAUGAUAUCAAGAAUAAGAAACUCAUACUCUACCUUCACAUAUUCCAUAUUGACUUAAGUAACAUAGGGUUUUAAAAUGAUUUUAUAAUAAUUGCAAGUUUUCAAGAAAUAUCACAGAUUGAGAUUAAUCAUGAUUAGAAAUAUUUUAAUCUUUUUUAAUUUAUCAUGUCGGAAACAUUAAUCUGCAUAAUCCAGAAUAAAUGUAUGUAUAAGUAAAGUGUGCAGAGUGUGUACCUGAGUGGUGGAGUGGUGUAGUUGGAGUGUGUUUGGCAUGUCGAGGGAUCUCCCCCAUACUUGUUUUUUGCUUUCUUGCACAAAAAUAAAGUGGAGACACACAAGACAUAAUAAUAAUAAUAAUACUCUUUAUUAAUCUUGAGGUAUUUAUUACAAAAGACUAGUAGCAAACUGAUGAUAAUAGUAAACUGAUGAUAAUAGCAAACCUAAACCGAAUUUAAAGAUAAAUGACUAAGAUGUAUUGCCUCAAGGUCUAAUCUAGAUAACUUAGCGGCGCUCUAAUUCCUUGAUCUUCUUGUUGGCACUGGCAAGAUCCUGCCUAAGGCCUAGUAUAAUGGUGUUGUGGUUAGAGAGCUGCCUAGUGAGGGAAUUAAUCGAGGACUGGAGGUCUAUGAUAACUCUAUCUAGCCUGCGAACUUCCUCAUCAAUAUCCAUUAUAGUCUUGCGACGCUUGGGAGGUGUCUCAAAAGCAUUGAG